UGUUAUCCUUCUAUCACAAAUCACCACCGACAAUCAUCUCCUCCCACUCAACCCCACCUGUACUCUUCUUCACUGCGUGUUGUUUUGGAUGGCUGACCACAGGUAUUUAAAAUCAUAAACCUUCACCCUCUCUACUCCUUGCAUCUUUACUUUUCUACCUGUUGCCCUCUCCUUCACACACAUGUAUUCUGUCUUUGUUUCUACUGACUUCUCUCUUGAGCAUAACUUCACCUCUCCAGGCUCGCUACAGAAACGUUAAGCCCAAAAUCCACCACUUUAAACUUUAAUACAAGCACUUAAGAGACUUUCAUUUCACUUGAAUAGGGACUUCAACACUGUACCCUUGGGUUAACGGUUUGAUACUCUACCAUCUAAGCUAUCCAGGGUCUGUAGCAGUUGCCUCUACCUUGUUCAUCCUGGUGUUUCAAACCUAAACCAAAGAUCAUAGGCUAAUUCAAGCAGGGGGAGGAUAUUUGUAAAAAUAAAUCAAUAAAUAAAAUACAAAAAAGGAGAUUUGUUUUUAUUAAAUUUUGUUAAGUGGCACAGUCCAUCAGUAGUGAGUCCUUAGUGAAAGUCUUAAAAAUGAAAAUAAAAGUUAAAUAAAAAUAACUAAAUACAGAAUAAAUGCUAUGUUUGUAUAAAAACUCCAACAUAAUUAUUUGUGAAAAGGCUACAUUAAGCUUCCGAUAAAAAAAAAAAACAACAUUUAUAUGAUGGCAAACUAUUUCACGAAGUAACAAUAAAACUGUUGGUACUUAAUAGAGGGUUCAAGUUAGUGGGUCAAACUCACCACCACUGCGCAUGCUCAGAUUUCGACGCCACCUGAGCAUCAAUUAGCAGGUUGACGGAGACUUUUAGUAAGUCAGUUUCUAUGGAACUCCAAAGUGUUCAAAAUUAAAUAAAUAAAUAGGUCAAGAUGAAAUAAAUAACUAUGUGAAUAAAUAAGACACAGAUAUGUAAUGUGAGAAUGAUAUUGUGAAAUAAUGGAACACAUUUUGAAAACAAUGCUCAUUAUUGUGAAACAUAUUACAUUCUCGAGCCAGAACAAAAAGGAUUUUCGUUAAUAUUUACAAUUUGUUCAUGGAGUUGACUGUUGUAAAUACCCUAGAGUGUAACUUAAGAGUGCAGUUAGCCCUCCGCGCCACCAGAGACCGCUAGUGAAGUUCGUUUUUUCUUAACUAGAAACGUAAAAACAUUAACUCUUUCUGCUAAAUU
ensembl:lncRNA